ACUUCCUGCAUGGUCCAAUUUCUCAUCUCCAACCUGUCUAACCCUAAAGUUCUUUUCAACCUGAUUCUGGGAAGGCCUGGCACGGAGCCACCUUUAAGUGGACUAGGCCUGUGAUCCUGCCCCAAAUCCCGAGGCCCCUCCAGUGUCCUUUAGGCCUUACCGCCCCCAAACGCCCCUCUUCUUCCAUUCCGGCAGGCUAGUGACUACCCCAACACCAUCCUCCAUUUGCCCCUGGUUCACGGCUCCGGCCGCCGUCUGGUUUUCCCAACUUUGCAUGGCUACUUGCACUCUCAGAGGCAGCCAGUCACAACUUCUGCCUUUUCCCCCACCAAGGCUUGCCCUCUCAGGCCUCUGGGACUUGGCGCUAGACCUCUGCUAGACCUCUGCUUCCGUGCACGGCUUACUCCCACUCGUUUUUCAAGACUCAUCUUGAAUUCAUUUCAAGAAAUUCCUCAUGCAGCAACUAUUUAUUGUGUACUCACUACAAUACUUUGCUUUGUUAACUUUAUUGAAUUUAACACUAAUCCAGCCUUCUUCACAGUACUUUAAAAUGAAUGGUUUGGGCAGGAAGGUUGAGGUAGACACCCCCCUUCUUAUCCUACCCCACCCCCAGCUGCUAGCACCUGGAUGUUUGGCAGCUAGGAAUCAGACAUCCAGAAGAGACUGAUAGGGCUGUAAUGAACAUAACAGAGCUAGGUCUCAGAGGCAUCCACCUUUUUUGUGGAAUAGACCAGAAGAUGCCAUGGCCAGACUCUUACCCACCUUGCAGGAACUCCCACAGUUAUCCCCAAACUCCCCCAAGGUCCUGUCUCCCUAUCACUUCACUAUGUUAGGCCUUGGAGGCAGCUGGUACUGCAGAGGCUUUGAAGAAGCCUAGAAUUCCCUCCACAGGGUCCUUGGAUUGAAGUGGGGCAGAGACAGGGUUCACAGCAGGGAACUACCGGACAUCAACACCGUGGGGUGCCAACACUCUCAGGAACUCCUUGUUCCUAAACAGUGCCAGUUGGGCUACUUUCAGAGAGGAGCUGGAGGAAAUCGGUUCUUUCUCCCUUUCCCACCUAGGCUGGAAGCCAAGAUUGCUGUGUAUUUGGAAGAAAGCAAAAGCCAAGAUCUGAAGUAAUAGCAUAGAGAAAAGGGUCACCCUCUGCUAGUCCCCUCUGCAACCCCAGGCAUCCAACCCCAUCCCCACCCUAGGAACAAGGGGUGCACGGGGCAGCCCCUGGGAGAAGGCAAGCAAGUGGGUUCAGACCAGUGCUCAAAGAUAAUAAGAGAUCCAAGGUGCCCUGCAUGUGCCAGAUAAGAAGUGCCAACCAGAGGUUCUGAAUGGACUAUAUCUCGAGCACAAAAGCUCAAGGCUGGGCGCAGUGUGACUCAUGCCUGUCACCUAGCCCUUUAGGAGGCCAAGGAGGGAGGAUUCCUUGAGGCCAGGAGUUUAAGACCAGACGGGG
rnacentral:lncRNA from 10 species